CUUUUAUUUCACUAUCUCUAUCCCUCUGGCAUUUUUCUUUUCAAAAAUUUCUUUUUUGUAUCAUCUUCUAGAUUGAGAGAGAAUCAACUACUAAGAGAUGUACAAAAAUUAUGAUUGUGUACAUCUAUUCGGAAGUCGCAAUGAAAUAACAAAAUCCUAUCAGCACUCGACAGAUUCAAUGUUCUCUUGAAAAGCUUAUUUGCCGCAACCACUAGAUGGAAAAGUGUCAACACACAUUGCAUGUCUAUUUGAGGACAAUUAAUUUGAACUAUGACUCGACAAGUUUCCAGAAGGUUUGUUUCGAGGAAGAGAAAUACCAGUGUCUAGAUCCACAAUUUUCAUCUCGGCAUUCCUUAUAACUGUGCCACAUGCCCCUGAUUUUAUCUCAAAAGGUUCUUUUGCGAAUGCCAAGCACAUUGUUAUCGGUGCACCGGCCUCCGUCAUUCCGUAGCCCUAUUAGAUUAAGAAUUUAAAUUCUAUACGCACUGAUUAGGUGUAAUAAUAAAUAUAUUUACACAUUGACGUAAUUAUAAAUACUUAUGAAUUCUAUUUCUAUUUUAUUUA